UAGGUAUGGCCUCAGAGUGCCACAAAGGCAGUUAGUCCUGUCAACCUAGCCGCUGGUUGCAGCAGUGGCACCGAGGGAGAGCUGUCACUAGGCCCAGCAGCUUUGAACUAUUUGUUGUCCUUCUUAGGCCUCAGUCUCCCCAUCUGGGAAGUGCCGGACUUCCUGUCAUUUCAUUUACACCGAGUCAAGAGGAUGAAGUGGGGCAUAUCGCCAUGAUCAUCUUGUCUUUUAAACUGUUUUCAAGACGGAAAUGGUUGUUUAAAAAAAAACAGGCUGCUGAGGAAAAUUAAAGUCGUUCCCACUCAUAAGUGGGAAUGAGAUGCUCUCCUCAAAGAAGUAGCCGUAGAUUAAAUUGUUUUCUGCCCGCGUAGAAGGCAGUAUGUGUGUAGGGAGAGUGUUGGAAGUUUUUGAGUUCCCAAGAGUGUGGCCUUAUUUUGCUCCACGGAGGCGCAGGGACCCGCGGAGCUUAGUCAGGACACCACGGUUUCUAACGCUUUCUCCUGCUGGUUCACUUAAAUACCGGGGACAGAGAAUUACCAUCACUGGGCAGAGAAACUGGGGCCCAGAGAGGCGAGCUUUCUGCUUCCCAGCCGCCAGCCUCCCAGCUCACCCAGCUCACCUCGAGGAAGCUCCUAAUCCCUGACUCAGAGCCCUCUCCCAGCGCUGCCCUCUGGUCUCGGAAUGGGGAGUUCAGGAGCCGGCCGGGACAGCCCAGGAGGUCCGCGGCGGCUGCAUCGAAAAGGGCAAACCUCCUGGAGCACGCGGACCUAUCCCGCUGCCUACAGCGAGUUGGGGUCUGAGUGGAGUCCGAGCAACCCCCGCCCCCAGGCAGAUCUGGCCCAACUUUUUGGCACAAGGGUUGAGGAGAGCUUCAGCAUGGAACUGGGCAUAUUCAGAGGCGUAUUCUUCAGUCCUGAAGACAUGCCACCCAGUUGGGUAGGAGUCCAGGGACCAUGGGCUUACCCUCAUGAUAUGGAUUUGGACAUACACCAAGAGUGGGGGAGAGGUGAGAGACUGCUCCCAGGGUCCCUUUAGGGGUUCCCACCCUUGGUGAGUGUUAUAUGUGGCUCCUUGUCUUCCUUGAGUCCUGGCCAGGCCAAACUGACCCCAGGUGCUGGGACCAAACGGACUGCUGGAAUUUAGCACUGGGUCAGUGCAAUAAUACAAUAGCUUCUAUCUACAGGCUUCUAUCGUUUUUUCCCCCGCUAAGUUCUAACUUUCUCGUAUAUAGCCUAUAUGUAGUUUGUGGAGCUGAUUGUGGGGGCAUUUGCUGGCCUGGGAUCAUUGACAUUGAUUUUACUCAAUGAAUGAUUUAUACAGUCCAAACUCAGGUAAGCAUCUCUGCCUCCUUCUCAG
ensembl:lncRNA